AUGUUAAACCAGCUACCUGAAACAGGCCUCUGGGCCAUGGAAAGAGACGACUGGUUUGGACAUCGAGGGCUUUCCACGGAAAAAGUACGGCACCGACUGUGGCAUCUUCAUGUUGAUGCAUGUCCUUUACAAAGUGAUGGAUGCACCCUUUGACUUCACUGUUAUUGAUAUGCCGGCAUUGAGAAAAUGGUGGUGUAUCAUGCUGAUCGAAAAUCUUGAC
rnacentral:lncRNA from 1 species